UAGCUAGUUGGUGAGGUAAAAGCUCACCAAGGCGACGAUCUGUAGCGGGUCUGAGAGGAUGAUCCGCCACACUGGAACUGAGACACGGUCCAGACUCCUACGGGAGGCAGCAGUGGGGAAUUUUGGACAAUGGGGGCAACCCUGAUCCAGCCUUGCCGCGUGAGUGAAGAAGGCCUCCGGGUUGUAAAGCUCUUUCAGCCGGGAAGAAAAUGCAUGGGUUAAUACCCUGUGCAGAUGACGGUACCGGAAUAAGAGGCACCGGCUAACUACGUGCCAGCAGCCGCGGUAAUACGUAGGGUGCGAGCGUUAAUCGGAAUUACUGGGCGUAAAGCGUGCGCAGGCGGUUUUGUAAGACAGGCGUGAAAUCCCCGGGCUUAACCUGGGAACUGCGUUUGUGACUGCAAGGCUAGAGUACGGCAGAGGGGGGUGGAAUUCCACGUGUAGCAGUGAAAUGCGUAGAGAUGUGGAGGAACACCAAUGGCGAAGGCAGCCCCCUGGGUCGAUACUGACGCUCAUGCACGAAAGCGUGGGUAGCAAACAGGAUUAGAUACCCUGGUAGUCCACGCCCUAAACGAUGUCAACUAGGUGUUGGGAGGGUAAAACCUUUUAGUACCGUAGCUAACGCGAGAAGUUGACCGCCUGGAGUACGGCCGCAAGGUUAAAACUCAAAGGAAUUGACGGGGACCCGCACAAGCGGUGGAUGAUGUGGAUUAAUUCGAUGCAACGCGAAAAACCUUACCUACCCUUGACAUGUCAGGAACUUUCCAGAGAUGGAUUGGUGCCCGAAAGGGAACCUGAACACAGGUGCUGCAUGGCUGUCGACAGCUCGUGUCGUGAGAUGUUGGGUUAAGUCCCGCAACGAGCGCAACCCUUGUCGUUAAUUGCCAUCAUUCAGUUGGGCACUUUAACGAGACUGCCGGUGACAAACCGGAGGAAGGUGGGGAUGAUGUCAAGUCCUCAUGGCCCUUAUGGGUAGGGCCUCACACGUCAUACAAUGGUCGGUACAAAGGGUUGCCAACCCGCGAGGGGGAGCCAAUCCCAUAAAGCCGAUCGUAGUCCGGAUUGUAGGCUGCAACUCGCCUGCAUGAAGUCGGAAUCGUUAGUAAUCGUGGAUCAGCAUGUCACGGUGAAUACGUUCCCGGGUCUUGUACACACCGCCCGUCACACCAUGGGAGCGGGUUCCGCCAGAAGUAGGUAGCCUAACCGCAAGGGGGGCGCUUACCACGGCGG
rnacentral:rRNA from 1 species